rnacentral:rRNA from 1 species
AUGCCCAUCUGCACAAUGCGCGCACCAACUAUCUGCGGGUUCGCAUACGCGGACGACCCUUGCAGCACCAACUAUCCACACAUGCAGAAGAUGCUUGCAGUUCUUGUGGAUCACACAUUGGCCAAUGGUGAGGCCGAGCGCGAUGUGGAGACAUCAGCGUUUGCCAAGUUUGCCACCUUUGAGCAGGAGCUCCGUGCAGUGCUGCCAAGGGAGGUCGAGUCUGCCCGGAGUGUCGUGGAGAAUGGCACUGCUGUACAACAGAACCAUAUCAGCGAAUGUAGGUCCUACCCGCUCUAUUGGUUCGCGCGCAAGGAGUUGGGAACUGAGUAUUUGACUGGGGAGAAGACACGGUCUCCCGGUGAAGAGGUGAACAAGGUGUUCAUUGCCAUGAACAAGGGCAAGCUCAUCGAUGCGCUGCUCGAGUGCCUUGAGGAGUGGAAUGUGCUUCAUUUUUUGAGAUCACUAAUCUCAUGCAUCUAUAUGAGCCAUGGAGACAGGGUCGUCCAAGGGCCUGUGCGAGCUGUGCGCUCGCACAGGGCCCCCAAAAUCGAGGCCCCCCGAUUUAGGGCCAUAUACGUGUAUGAAUAG